rnacentral:rRNA from 1 species
AGUGAACGCUGGCGGUAGGCCUAACACAUGCAAGUCGAACGGCAGCACAGUAAGAGCUUGCUCUUACGGGUGGCGAGUGGCGGACGGGUGAGGAAUACAUCGGAAUCUACUUUUUCGUGGGGGAUAACGUAGGGAAACUUACGCUAAUACCGCAUACGACCUACGGGUGAAAGCAGGGGAUCUUCGGACCUUGCGCGAUUGAAUAAGCCGAUGUCGGAUUAGCUAGUUGGCGGGGUAAAGGCCCACCAAGGCGACGAUCCGUAGCUGGUCUGAGAGGAUGAUCAGCCACACUGGAACUGAGACACGGUCCAGACUCCUACGGGAGGCAGCAGUGGGGAAUAUUGGGCAAUGGGCGCAAGCCUGAUCCAGCCAUACCGCGUGGGUGAAGAAGGCCUUCGGGUUGUAAAGCCCUUUUGUUGGGAAAGAAAAGCAGCAGGUUAAUACCCCGCUGUUCUGACGGUACCCAAAGAAUAAGCACCGGCUAACUUCGUG